rnacentral:rRNA from 1 species
UCCGUAGGGUGCAAGCGUUAAUCGGAAUUACUGGGCGUAAAGCGUGCGCAGGCGGUGAUGUAAGACAGGUGUGAAAUCCCCGGGCUUAACCUGGGAACUGCAUUUGUGACUGCAUCGCUGGAGUGCGGCAGAGGGGGAUGGAAUUCCGCGUGUAGCAGUGAAAUGCGUAGAUAUGCGGAGGAACACCGAUGGCGAAGGCAAUCCCCUGGGCCUGCACUGACGCUCAUGCACGAAAGCGUGGGGAGCAAACAGG